UACAGAGGGUGCAAGCGUUAAUCGGAGUUAUUGGGCGUAAAGGGCGCGUAGGCGGUUUGAUAAGUAAGAUGUGAAAUCCCCGGGCUUAACCUGGGAACUGCAUCUUAGACUAUUAGACUGGAGUGCAGUAGAGGGUGGUGGAAUUUCCGGUGUAGCGGUGAAAUGCGUAGAGAUCGGAAGGAACAUCAGUGGCGAAGGCGACCACCUGGACUGAGACUGACGCUGAGGCGCGAGAGCGUGGGGAGCAAACAGG
rnacentral:rRNA from 1 species